UACGGAAAGGACAGGCGUCCUGGCCCGCUCCUGAGUAAGGCAUUGUGGGCCUGGGUGUGGAAUGAGAGUUUUUAAUGCCGUCCUGUUGAUGUGGAAGAUUAGGACUCCUGUCCAGUGGGUCAAACUUGGCCACUGAUUCUAAGGCUUCAGAGUUGCCCGGAAUUUUAAGAAAUCCCGAUAUUAUCCUGAAGCUCUUCUGGGCUUACAGCCACCAUCUCCAGAGUCAGAGUUGAUCGGCAAACACGGAUUGCUUUUUCAGGGAAAGAGCGGGCAGCCCCAAAGCUCUUUGACAAAGCCAGUGA